rnacentral:tRNA from 1 species
GGCGGCGUGGUGUAAUGGCUAACACAUCAGUCCGGCCUACUGAAGAUGCUGGUUCGCUCCCAGCCGCCGAAU